rnacentral:tmRNA from 1 species
GGGCAGUACCCACCACCUCCACCAUUACAACUUAUGGGGGUGAACUAGAUUCGACGGGUGACUAAAGGCUAUUCUUUCGUUCGGGAUUGUUCCACCGUGACGGGCAAAUUUAUAAUUGCUAACGAAAGUUACGCACUUGCUGCCUAAUUAACUUUGUUAAUUAAGUAGACGGGGUCCGGGGCACCUGGCAACAGAACGCCCCUUAUU